AAUAAGGUGCCUGAAUNAAAAAGGAUUAUUUUGAUAGAAUAAAUUAUGUAAUAAAAUUACUCUUAUUAUGUUUA
rnacentral:tRNA from 1 species